GCUAGGCGCGAAGGUAGCUGCGGAAUUGACUGGAGGAGAUGAUGGCUACGACGCUGAGAAGAUAUGCGAGCCAGAACUGAGGGGGAUAAACGGAGAGAGAGAGGCGCGGCGGUGGUGUAGCUUGAGCUUGCUUUGUUAUGCAAAUGAGAAAGAAUGAGAGAGAUAGGGGAUGUGUUCUACUGGUUUAAUGUUUAAAAAAGAGGAGAAGAAGGAGAAGGUAGCUGCGGCGGUUAGGGUGGCCAGCGGUGGCGCUGUGGGUGAGGAAAGGAGAAGAAAAAGCUCGUCGACGGAGAGGGGAAUGUUAGGUUUAGCUCGUUUGAUUUGUGUGUUGUGAAUAAAUGGAGUUCGGGCACAAACUUGACUACAAGGAUC
rnacentral:lncRNA from 1 species